rnacentral:rRNA from 1 species
AUUGAACGCUGGCGGCAGGCCUAACACAUGCAAGUCGAACGGCAGCAGCAUUCAAGCUUGCUUGAAUGGCUGGCGAGUGGCGGACGGGUGAGUAACACGUAGGAAUCUGCCCAGCAGUGGGGGAUAACCCGGGGAAACUCGGGCUAAUACCGCAUAAGCCCUAUGGGGGAAAGCGGGGGAUCUUCGGACCUCGUGCUGUUGGAUGAGCCUACGCCGGAUUAGCUAGUUGGUAGGGUAAUUGCCUACCAAGGCGACGAUCCGUAGCUGGUCUGAGAGGAUGAUCAGCCACACUGGGACUGAGACACGGCCCAGACUCCUACGGGAGGCAGCAGUGGGGAAUAUUGCACAAUGGGCGAAAGCCUGAUGCAGCCAUGCCGCGUGUGUGAAGAAGGCCUUUCGGGUUUGUAAAAGCACUUUCAGAGGGAA